UGUAUCUAUUACUCACCUUUCUUCAAACCGGGGGAUAUAUCCUCUCUAAAUACAAGAGGAACCUUAACCUUUAAUAAAUCACGUGAUGGAUCUCUUAUAAAUGUAACAUUAAGAGGCUCAUCUGAACCGGCUUCCAGAUGGACCUGAACAUCAAAAUAGAUAAAUCAGCCCAUCACACUGCUAAACUCCAUCUAAAGCUCUGUUUGGCUCCAACAGCUCAUAAUUCUACAAAGACUUUCUUUUGAACCAAAUUAAGCAGUUAAAGGUCUUUCUUCUGAGCUGAGUUAUGCAGUUCCCUGAGCUUCAACCCCUGACACAACAUAACUCAUCAGGCUAGUUAAUAUAUCUCACCAUGCCGAUAACUUCUUUUUCUAUCAUUCUGGUUUACAAUGUCACAAGAUGUGUGAAAAGAACAGUUCAUUAAUGAUCAUCAAACCCAAAAUAUGAAUAUUAUACUUCCACAUAUGAAGUUUUGCGAGCAAUUUCGUCAUAAGAACUUUGCUGCCUUCACACUUAUGCUGCUUACAUUGUGGGACAUCACAAUCAAUGCUUGCCAACAGCACAACGAGAGCUGAUAUCAACUCCUAUUUUUAACCAUCUAAACCACCACAUCUCUUUAGAACCUUGCUUUGUUUCAAGCAUAUAUCAUCUCAAGAAGCUCCACGCUUUUCUCUUUCGAGUGAGUGAAACUAUGUUCAAAUGGCCUAGCAAUAAUUGAAGUGAAAAAUCCAGGGAAACUAUGACAUGAUUGUUCUCAUCUGCCUAAACUUUGGUGGUCAAUAGUUACCAGGUAAUUGUGCAGUUACUUAGUGUACCUCGUGAAAUGUCAAUGUUCGCAAUUUGACUUGGAUUCUAUCAUUAUCAGAAAGAAAUGUGUGAAUCCAUAACCAGUGCCCUAAAACUAGUCUAAUAUAACAGUGCAGCCAACUUCAAAGCUAACCUUAUCCAGAUCAGAAGUAUUAUUGACGAGUCCAAGACAUAAGCUUGUCCAACAACAUGGAAUCAUUAUUAUCCACACAUAUAUUUAAACAUCUUUCUUUUGAUAAAGUCAUAUACUUAAACAUCUAACAACUAUAUUGCUCAGACUCUUCAAAAAUGCCAACAGAUGUGUACCAAAUUCUCCAAAAAUAAUGUGAGCGACCAAGAUGGUUAACAAGCUUCCUAAUCUGAUGACCAUCCUCUUGUUCAAACACUAUGCUGGGUACUCGCCCAGCUUUCCAGUCUUUGACAGAGACGUUCUUGCCCGAAGUGACACGAGCAAUGGCAUGAAUAGUUUUAUCGUAUUUAGGGUUGGGUUUUGGGAAAUCUUCAAGGUCUGGAACAGCGGCGGCGGUGGCAGAGUUGCUAAAGAAACGGAAAUGGUGGAGGGAUUUGAUAAGCACAAUGCGUCAGAUCAACAUUUUUUGGAUGUGAUUUAAGUUAUAGGAGACUAGGGAUGAUGUUGAGAACAUUUUCGGGUAGCUAAACAAGCUGAAUUUGAAGGGAAAAGGCAGCCAUGAAGUGAGCAAAUAGGAGUAAACCUUGAUGAAAGCUGAAAUUUUUGAGGCCAUGGGCAUGCCACACCCUCUAGCCUCCGAGAUAAGAGUGUGCCACACCCCAAGACAUAAUUACAACAUGGAAAAAUAGUGAUCAUCCACGAUAAGGGCGAGCCAUGCCCUUAACGCGCCAAGACAUGGGUGUGACACCCCUUUGGUUCAAAAACGGGCAAUUCCCUUCUUAGUAUAAAUAGAACACUUGGAUUGUAUUGUAAACACCUUGGACGACUUUGAGAGAUGAAUAAAACUUGAGAAAGGCUAGAAUUAGCGUUCUUUGAUCUUUUUUUUAGUUUACUUUUGGUUUUUAUACAUGAAUUAGUCAUCGCGAUUCGUUGUAAAUCCAUGAGUGGCUAUACUCCUCAUCUAGGGUUGAAGCCAAUAACAUGAUUACUUAUGCUUUUAAUUGAGUUUGUUUAAGUUGAUUG